CCGCAGUUCCAAGGUAAAGGCGAGGCGUGGAUCCCGUCCCCGGAGGCGACGGGCCGAGCAGGCCGCGCUCCGCCCUCGGCCGCCCCCGCGCGGUGGCGCCGCCGGCGCUGGCCGGACGGGACCAGAGGAGACAAGAUGGCGGCGGGCGCGGCGGACAGCCGAGGAGCCGCGGGAGAGCAGCGUGUGCCCCCGUGGCCGUGCUGAAGUGACCUGAGAUACCCGAGAGCAAAGGGAUGAGAGCCGAUGGUGUCCCGCCACGCCGCGGGGCCGCACCGAGACCAAUGGCAGCUGGGCCACAGCAACACCUACCCAGGCAGCAUCAAGAGAUAAUGGGAUUUGUCACACCAAGGCUAAACUGAGAUUAAACUUCAACCCUUUAUAUGGAACUAUUUGUUGAAAGAGGAAGCUGCAGCACUGAAAGCAGUCAGUGCUCGACUGCAUGAGACCAUGCCUUUGGCAGAAGUUUGACUUUCCAUGAAGAGUGCUGUUAAAGACGCACCUGAAACUUUCUGCUGCUGAGGAGAAUCACUUUCAAGUACUUAAAUUUGAAUAUCCCUCUAAAUUCCAUUUAUUUCAUAUUAAAAAUGUGUUUUUAUAAAACCACAAGGACUACAGAAAAACAGUUAACAUAAUAGUCUUGUAUAAUUUUUUCCACCACUGUAUUUUACAUAUCACCAUAUCGCUUCUGCCUGAGCAAAAGAAAAAGGAAUAAAAAUAAAUUCUCUCCCAACUAUUUA